rnacentral:rRNA from 1 species
CCUACGGGAGGCAGCAGUGGGGAAUAUUGCACAAUGGGGGAAAGCCUGAUGCAGCGACGCCGCGUGAGUGAAGAAGUAAUUCGUUACGGAAAGCUCUAUCAGCAGGGAAGAAAAUGACGGUACCUGAGUAAGAAGCCCCGGCUAACUACGGGCCAGCAGCCGCGGGAAGACGUAGGGGGCAGGCGUUAUCCGGAUUUACUGGGUGUAAAGGGAGCGUAGACGGUGCGCCAAGUCUGGAGGGAAAUGCUGCAGCUUAACUGCGGACCUGCUUGGGAAACUGGCGAACUAGAGAGCGGGAGGGGUAAGCGGAAUUCGUAGUGUAGCGGUGAAAUGCUUAGAUAUUAGGAGGAACACCGGUGGCGAAGGCGGCUUACUGGACCGUAACUGACGUUGAGGCUCGAAAGCGUGGGGAGCAAACAGGAUUAGAUACCCCUGUAGUC